UGAGAAGGGGCAAAGCUCAGGUGAAGCACCUGCUUUUCAGGCAGAAGGUUCCAGGUUCGAAUCCUGGCUUCUCCA